AGCGAACGUUUGCGGCGGGCUUAACACAUGCAAGUCGAACGGGCUGUUCCUUCGGGGGCAGUCAGUGGCGCACGGGUGCGUAACACGUAGGUAAUCAACCCUCUGGUUGGGGAUAACACUUCGAAAGGAGUGCUAAUACCCGGUAUGGCGCAGCGGUCUUCGGAUCGCGGCGAGAAAGACCCGCAAGGGUUGCCAGAGGACGAGCCUGCGGCCCAUCAGCUAGUUGGCGAGGUAACGGCUCACCAAGGCGGAGACGGGUAGCUGGUCUGAGAGGAUGAUCAGCCACACUGGAACUGAGACACGGUCCAGACUCCUACGGGAGGCAGCAGUGGGGAAUAUUGCGCAAUGGGCGAAAGCCUGACGCAGCAAUGCCGCGUGAGUGAUGAAGGCCUUAGGGUUGUAAAGCUCUUUUACCAGGGAUGAUAAUGACAGUACCUGGAGAAUAAGCUCCGGCUAACUCCGUGCCAGCAGCCGCGGUAAAGUCUAG
rnacentral:rRNA from 1 species